GGCACGCCUAAUACAUGCAAGUCGAACGAAGUAGCAAUACUUAGUGGCAGACGGGUGAGUAACAUGUGGGUAUCUUCCCUAUGGUGAGGAAUAACACGAGGAAACUUGUGCUAAUACCUCAUAAGUCUUUACGGAGAAAGCUUUAUGCGCCAUUGGAUGAGCCCGCACUUGAUUAGUUUGUUGGUGGGGUAAAAGCCUACCAAGACAUAGAUCAAUAGCUGAUUUGAGAGGAUGAUCAGCCACAUUGGGACUGAGACACGGCCCAAACUCCUACGGGAGGCAGCAGUAGGGAAUCUUGCACAAUGGGGGAAACCCUGAUGCAGCGAUGCCGCGUGAGUGAAGAAGGCCUUUGGGUUGUAAAGCUCUUUCGUCGGGGAAGAAAAUGACUGUACCCGAAUAAGAAGGUCCGGCUAACUUCGUGCCAGCAGCCGCGGUAAUACGAAGGGACCUAGCGUAGUUCGGAAUUACUGGGCUUAAAGAGUUCGUAGGUUGUUGAAAAAGUUGGUGGUGAAAUCCCAGAGCUUAACUCUGGAACUGCCAUCAAAACUUUUUAGCUAGAGCAUGAUAGAGGAAAGCAGAAUUUCUAGUGUAGAGGUGAAAUUCGUAGAUAUUAGAAAGAAUACCGAUUGCGAAGGCAGCUUUCUGGAUCAUUGCUGACACUGAGGAACGAAAGCAUGGGUAGCGAAGAGGAUUAGAUACCCUCGUAGUCCAUGCCGUAAACGAUGUGUGUUAGACGUUGGAAAUUUAUUUUCAGUGUCGCAGCGAAAGCAGUAAACACACCGCCUGGG
rnacentral:rRNA from 1 species